rnacentral:snRNA from 1 species
AGAUGGCUGGUUUGGCUGAUUUAGAUGGCUGGGAAAAUGCUCUCUUCCUCCCUCAGCAUUCUAUAAACGUCCCUCUUGAAACUGGACCUCAGAAGAGGACUACUUGCCCCCAACACAGGAGGGCUAGCAUCCAGUCAAGGGCACACAAAUGGCUGAUCUCCCCUUCUAGGACCAACAAACAGCUCUUGGAGAGAGGCAGGCACAAAGUCUGUCUGAAUCACACUAAGUACAGAUCCUGUCAAGCCAUUAGUUUUGUUUAACUGU